rnacentral:rRNA from 1 species
UACGUAGGGGGCAAGCGUUGUCCGGAAUUAUUGGGCGUAAAGAGCGCGUAGGCGGCUUGGCAAGUCGGAUGUGAAAACUCCAGGCUCAACCUGGAGCCGCCAUUCGAUACUGCUAUGGCUAGAGUCCGGUAGGGGAGUGUGGAAGUUCCCGGUGUAGCGGUGAAAUGCGCAGAUAUCGGGAGGAACACCGAUGGCGAAGGCAGCACUCUGGGCCGGGUACUGACGCUGAGGAGCGAAAGCGUGGGGAGCGAACAGG